GCCCAGGUGGCGGAACUGGCAUACGCGCGCGACUCAAAAUCGCGUGGGAGCAAUCCCUUGAGGGUUCAAGUCCCUCCCUGGGCA
rnacentral:tRNA from 1 species